rnacentral:rRNA from 2 species
AUACCGGCAGUCCGAGUGAUGGCCGCUAUUAUUGGGCCUAAAGCGUCCGUAGCCAGCCAGACAGGUCCGUCGGGAAAUCCACUCGCUCAACGAGUGGGCGUCCGGCGGAAACCAGCUGGCUUGGGGCCGGAAGAUCCGAGGGGUACGUCCGGGGUAGGAGUGAAAUCCCGUAAUCCUGGACGGACCACCGGUGGCGAAAGCGCCUCGGAAAGACGGACCCGACGGUGAGGGACGAAAGCUAGGGUCACGAACCGGAUUAGAUACCCGGGUAGUCCUAGCUGUAAACGAUGCUCGCUAGGUGUGGCGUUGGCUACGAGCCAGCGCUGUGCCGUAGGGAAGCCGAGAAGCGAGCCGCCUGGGAAGUACGUCCGCAAGGAUGAA